rnacentral:rRNA from 1 species
UACAGAGGUCCCAAGCGUUGUUCGGAUUCACUGGGCGUAAAGGGUGCGUAGGUGGUGAGGUAAGUCGGAUGUGAAAGCUCGGAGCUCAACUCCGAAAUGGCAUUGGAAACUACCUUGCUCGAGGGUUGGAGGGGGGACUGGAAUACUUGGUGUAGCAGUGAAAUGCGUAGAUAUCAAGUGGAACACCAGUGGCGAAGGCGAGUCCCUGGACAACUCCUGACACUGAGGCACGAGAGCUAGGGGAGCAAACAGG